rnacentral:rRNA from 1 species
UACGGAGGAUCCGAGCGUUAUCCGGAAUUAUUGGGUUUAAAGGGUUCGUAGGCGGCUUUGUAAGUCAGUGGUGAAAUUUCCUAGCUUAACUAGGACACUGCCAUUGAUACUGCAGAGCUUGAAUAGUAUGGAAGUAACUAGAAUAUGUAGUGUAGCGGUGAAAUGCUUAGAUAUUACAUGGAAUACCAAUUGCGAAGGCAGGUUACUACGUAUUUAUUGACGCUGAUGAACGAAAGCGUGGGGAGCGAACAGGAUUAGAUACCCUGGUAGUCCACGCCGUAAACGAUGGAUACUAGCUGUUCGGUUUUCGGACUGAGUGGCUAAGCGAAAGUGAUAAGUAUCCCACCUGGGGAGUACGUUCGCAAGAAUGAAACUCAAAGGAAUUGACGGGGGCCCGCACAAGCGGUGGAGCAUGUGGUUUAAUUCGAUGAUACGCGAGGAACCUUACCAGGGCUUAAAUGUAGAUUGACAGAUUUGGAAACAGAUUUUUCUUCGGACAAUUUACAAGGUGCUGCAUGGUUGUCGUCAGCUCGUGCCGUGAGGUGUCAGGUUAAGUCCUAUAACGAGCGCAACCCCUAUUGUUAGUUACCAGCGCGUAAUGGCGGGGACUCUAGCAAGACUGCCGGUGCAAACCGUGAGGAAGGUGGGGAUGACGUCAAAUCAUCACGGCCCUUACGUCCUGGGCUACACACGUGCUACAAUGGCAAGUACAGAAAGCAGCUACCUGGCAACAGGAUGCGAAUCUCCAAAGCUUGUCUCAGUUCGGAUUGGAGUCUGCAACUCGACUCUAUGAAGCUGGAAUCGCUAGUAAUCGGAUAUCAGCCAUGAUCCGGUGAAUACGUUCCCGGGCCUUGUACACACCGCCCGUCAAGCCAUGGAAGCUGGGGGUACCUGAAGUCGGUGACCGCAAGGAGCUGCCUAGGGUAAAACUAGUA